rnacentral:lncRNA from 1 species
CAGGGAUUCAGGAACAAGGAAACAAGCCCUCCACUGCUGGGAGAGGCGUGGGGAAAACUGAAACAGGGGAACUCUCGGAAGAAAUGACAACCUGUUCCUCCUGCCUUUUGGGAUCUUGCGAUGUGGGCCCGGAUUUGCUUUAUAUCAUUUUCUUGUUGUUCCAUGUCACGUGGAAGAAUGCCUUGGAGGAGGCUGUCUGCAAACACUGGCAGUAUUCUUAGAGGAAGCUUGGGUUUGGGGCCUAGACACAUCCAGUCUCCAUGAAACGAUGAGAACAGCUGUCCUGAAAUGACAGAGCAAGAAACCUGCGCAGCAACAGCCUCAGAGAGGCCCCUUAAUAUACCUUCUCUACUAUGAAAAAUCAGAUUUUGUGAACAAUUUGGCAUGAGGAGAGAAAGGAACCUGAAGUUUUUAGCAAGGAAGGGCCCUGAUGAUGGUUGCCUUCAACAUUGCCUCAAUACUCAACAUCCAAGACAGCCCUGGCUUAGCAACUGGAAUCACGGAUGGGGAAAAUUUUUUCUCAAGCACAUGUGAAAUUUGGCUGUCAGACCACCUUCAUCUGCACAGAAAGCUAAAUGUAUUGCCUAGUUUUGCAACUUCAUAUGACUGUUCGCCAAACUGGAAUAAUUGUUGCAUUUGUGUGUGACUUCUCAGUAUUCCUAUGGCAUUACCACCAUAGCACCCCUAUGUCAAAUGGUGAAAGAAUUAGGUGAGGUUUUGUGAACGUUUAGAGUAACUUUGUUUUUUUGCAUCAACAUUCAAGAAGCACUCCUUCCCUUCCACUGCAGUAGAACCUUGAGGUCCCUCUCAGAUUUCUGUGGGGUGUCUGUGGUCUGCUGGAGCAUGGCCAGGUCUGGGCAGCUGUCACUUUCCUUCUGCUUCCCAGUACAGAGGCCUAUCUGGUGCUCAGAAAAGCUUCCUAAGUAAGAAUGCAGGUGUCUCACAUUAAGAAGGGAACCUUCUGUCCAUCUCCAGCUUAAGUAUCAACGUAUCCAGCAGCCUCAAGUCUAUCCAAACCUUAUUCAUUUUUCCCCACUUUGUUUUCAUAAUUUGACCACAGAACUGAGCGUCAAGUAUAUAUGAACCCAAGUUGUUUGUUCUCUUGUAGUUUGUUUUAGUGUUGUUCUUUCAGAUUAUAAUCUCAGGGCAGGAGUUCUGUCAAAAUUCUCACUUGAUCUUAAAAAGCCAAUUACAGGGCAAGAUGAAAAGUGGCUUCUUAGUAAACAUUUGCUAGCUUGAUACCUGACUCCACUCCUGCCUAUUAAAAGCAUUUCGCUUGAAAGUAUGCAAUGGUUAGAAGCAUCUAGAAAGUCGAGGUCUGAUGAUUUCACACACAUAUUUUGGGGUGCUAAAUUAAAGCUCUCCUUUGUAAAACAGUGCAUGAUGUCUUGGUGCUCUCAGGAUUGAAUGGUGAACAUACUGGCAGAGGCAAUUUCAGAUCCAAGUGAAAGACAGUUUUCACCUGGUGGUAAGGGUAGAUGUGUACUGAAACAACAAUCUAGGGCCGUCUUCUUUGUACCACAAGCUUAAUAAUUUGUAUGGCUAUGCUGUCUUCUUAGCUGCUUGCUGGUGGUGAAAAUCAGUUAUUUUCACUGGCUGAUUGACAGUUGGCCAGCACUGACCCUUCUGAAGACCUGUAUUUAUUUCUUGGAGGGGGUACCCUUGGUUUUAUUUUAUUCCUUUUGCGCCCUCACCCUACUUCAUGCCUUGCUGGGAAUAGGAACAGUGGUGCAGACUUAAGAGAAGAGGCCAAGGAAGAGCAAGUGAAAUCUGCUGGUCACCGUAGAUUUAAGCCCUUAGGAGACAGGGUUGUGUUUCUCCUCCUGGCAGAGUUGCAAUGAGACAAUGUCUAUCAAAUACAAGAAGAGUGGCUGAGUUCAAGGAGGGGUAGAAAUCUGUCAAUGAAAAAUUCUAUAUCACAUUGAAGUUUGGUCAUAGAAGGUAGCUUCUGGUGUUCUGCCCCCUAACCAUGGCAUGCCAUGAUUUAGUCCGUAAUGGACACAGCUUAGUGGAGUUUGUUUCAUCUCCAAACUUCACUCAUUGUUUAAAGAUACUGGCUAGGUGUCAGCACAGCCUGGGCCAGGGAGAGACGAUGGCCCAUUAGUCAUCAUCUGUCAUGCCUAUGGACUGUAGGGACCAGAGCAUUUACACUCAGAAUCACAGAGAUAAUUAGCACAUUGAUGUCAUUGUUCCUAACCACUGAGGCCAUUGAUCCUGUCCCCAGCCUGACUUGAAGGUCUUUGGGAGUUCAGCCAGCCUCCCAACCUGCCUACCACUUUGUUCUAAGAAUCCUACUCAACAGUGGCUUGCAUUUUCUGCUUCUAAGUGGCUUUGCGAUUAUGUAGAAAUUCAUGACGUGAUUUUGUCCUGAUUGAAUAAAGUGCAUCACUUGGUAUAAGGCCUGUGUCUGCCUAUUCCAUUUGAGCUGUAUAUUUUUCAAUGAAGUGGGAUUGUGGUCUCAAUUCAAAUUUUUUUUUUCUAUUGCUUCUACUGCACCAUGAUGGAGCUAAAGAGAAAUGCCUCAUUCAUGAUUAUCAGCUAUGCAAAGAAUGUUCCUUGUGAUGUCUAUGCUAAGCUAGGUUUAGAAGGAAAGAGUAAAAUUUUCCUCAUGGUCUCUCCUUCCUCAG